rnacentral:rRNA from 1 species
GGCCAGACUCCUACGGGAGGCAGCAGUGGGGGAUAUUGCACAAUGGGGGGAACCCUGAUGCAGCGACGCCGCGUGGGCGAUGGAGCGCCUCGGCGCGUAAAGUCCUAUCAGCAGGGAAGAAGAUGACGGUACCUGACUAAGAAGCCCCGGCUAAAUACGUGCCAGCAGCCGCGGUAAUACGUAGGGGGCAAGCGUUAUCCGGAUUUACUGGGUGUAAAGGGAGCGUAGACGGCAGUGCAAGUCUGGAGUGAAAGGCGGGGGCUCAACCCCCGGACUGCUCUGGAAACUGUACGGCUGGAGUGCAGGAGAGGUAAGUGGAAUUCCUAGUGUAGCGGUGAAAUGCGUAGAUAUUAGGAGGAACACCAGUGGCGAAGGCGGCUUACUGGACUGUAACUGACGUUGAGGCUCGAAAGCGUGGGGAGCAAACAGGAUUAGAUACCCGAGUA